UUUCUGGAAUGGAUCAUGGCUGAAACCUACAUGGCCUCUGGAUUGGACUGCGGCCGAUCAGGCUGUUGGUGAGGUAAUGGCCCACCGAACCUGUAACCGGUACGGGCUCUGAGAGGAGGAGCCCGGAGAUGGGCACUGAGACAAGGGCCCAGGCCCUAUGGGGCGCAGCAGGCGCGAAACCUCUGCAAUAGGCGAAAGCUUGACAGGGUUACUCUGAGUGAUGUCCGCUAAGGGCAUCUUUUGGCACUUCUAAAAAUAGUGUAGAAUAAGGGGUGGGCAAGUCUGGUGUCAGCCGCCGCGGUAAUACCAGCACCCCGAGUGGUCGGGACGAUUAUUGGGCCUAAAGCAUCCGUAGCCGGUUCUGCAAGUCUUCCGUUAAAUCCACCUGCUCAACAGAUGGGCUGCGGAGGAUACUACAGGGCUAGGAGGCGGGAGAGGCAAGCGGUACUCAGUGGGUAGGGGUAAAAUCCUCUGAUCCACUGAAGACCACCAGUGGCGAAGGCGGCUUGCCAGAACGCGCUCGACGGUGAGGGAUGAAAGCUGGGGGAGCAAACCGGAUUAGAUACCCGGGUAGUCCCAGCUGUAAACGAUGCAGACUCGGUGAUGGGUUGGCUUCGAGCCAACCCAGUGCCGCAGGGAAGCCGUUAAGUCUGCCGCCUGGGAUAC
rnacentral:rRNA from 1 species